GCGAUUCUCCUGCCUCAGACUCCUGACUAGCUGGGACUACAGGAAGGAUGUCGAUUCUGCGCUUCUCAGUAACUACGUGACGUGAAAAUACAUAUCAAAAACACUGUGCAGGCACCAGAGUCCUGAGAUUGUCAGAGAAUUUCUCACAGCAAUGAAAAGCCACAAGUUGACCAAAGUUGGGGCUUUCCCAUGUGCCAAGACUGGUCUCGAAAUACUGGACUCAAGCAAUCCCCCCACCUUGACCUCCCAAAGUGCUGGGAUUACAGGCCGAGCUAUGACACCCAGCCUUCAGUUAUACAUUUCAAAGAACAUAAAAUAAUUUCCAUUAUAUUCAUUUAUUCUUUCACUCAUCUAAAUACUUAUUGAGCAUGUACUGUGUGCACUGACGCUACGUGCCGGGGAUCCAGAAGUGAACGAGCCAGACGAGGUGCUGCCCUUGUGGACCUUAAAUUCUAUUUAGGGAAGAGAAACAAUAAACAUGUAAACACAUUCCAGAUUACCUGCAGCAAUGGACACACCUUGUAACAGAUACACAGGAAAAUUAGAAGGGGAAACUCUAGAUCAGUGCUUCUGAAAUUUUUAAAGCACAAUCACUUUGGGGUCUGGUUAAAAUGCAGCUUUUCCUUCAGUGGGUCUGUGGUGGGGCCUAAGACUCUGCAUUUCCAGAGAAAACACAACACAAAAUGAAAUGCUUGCAGGCAACACUGACGCUUCUGGUCUGAAGCCCACACUUGGAGAUCCAUAGCUGUGGGCAGAGAAGGGGUGCAGCAAGCUCCUCUAGCUUGAUGAUCGGGAAGGACCUUUUCCAGGAAUGAAGUUUUGAAUGAGAUCCUGAGUGAUGGUAAGCAAUCGGUCUCAUGAGCAAUGGCAAGUCAAAGGCCUUGAGGUAGGAAUGAGCUGUGGGUGUGCCAAGGAAGGCCACUGAGGCUGGGGCAUGGUGAUUGAGGAGAGUGACAGGAGAACUGGGAGCGAGUCCAAUCAUUUACAUUAUUUAGGGCCUUGUGUGUAGGCCAUGCCGAAGAGUUUGAAUUUUAUUCUAAUUGCUAUGAAAGACGUUUAGUAGCUUUCAAACUGGAGAGUGAGAUAAGCUUAUUUAUGAUCACUCUUCGCUGCUGCAUAAAGAACAAACUGCUGGAGGCCAGAGUACAGAUGGGGAAACUAUAUGUAAUCAAACCUCUUAGCCCUACUCAUCCCAGGCAGGAAUUCCAAUUUAAAUCACUGCCUUUGGCAACAGAAAUAAAUGGCAUACUGCCAAAAUUAUCAUGGCUAAACAGAAUUUUUAUAUAUUCAAAGCACUGGUCUAUGCCUGAUUAUUCAUGUAAGAACACAUGGGUAUUUUCCUCGAAAACAAUGUGGCAAUCCACAAAUGAAUAUAUUAUCAAAGUUAUACAUGCAUAAGGUUUCAAAAUAAAAUAAAAUCAAAGCCUUCUAAUACAGAGAUGUUCCCUCCUCCAGCCCUCCCCAAGUCAGUUCUCAUCCCAGAGGCAUCCACUUUGAUGUCUGUUA
rnacentral:lncRNA from 1 species